AGAAUCAACGCUGGCGGCGUGCCUAACACAUGCAAGUCGAACGAGAAAGUGGAGCAAUCCAUGAGUAAAGUGGCGCACGGGUGAGUAACACGUGACUAACCUACCCUUGAGUGGGGAAUAACUUCGGGAAACCGAGGCUAAUACCGCAUAACACCUACGGGUCAAAGGAGCAAUUCGCUUAAGGAGGGGGUCGCGGCAGAUUAGUUAGUUGGCGGGGUAAUGGCCCACCAAGACAGUGAUCUGUAUCCGGCCUGAGAGGGCGCACGGACACACUGGAACUGAAACACGGUCCAGACUCCUACGGGAGGCAGCAGUGGGGAAUUUUGCGCAAUGGGGGAAACCCUGACGCAGCAACGCCGCGUGGAGGAUGAAGUCUCUUGGGACGUAAACUCCUUUCGAUCGGGACGAUAAUGACGGUACCGAGAGAAGAGCCCCGGCUAACUUCGCGCCAGCAGCCGC
rnacentral:rRNA from 1 species